CCACGUGGCUCAGUUGGUAGAGCAUGGUGUUUGUAACGCCAGGGUUGUGGGUUCAAAUCCCACGGUGGA
rnacentral:tRNA from 1 species